GAUGAACGCUGGCGGCGUGCCUAAUACAUGCAAGUCGAGCGAACAGACGAGGAGCUUGCUCCUCUGACGUUAGCGGCGGACGGGUGAGUAACACGUGGAUAACCUACCUAUAAGACUGGGAUAACUUCGGGAAACCGGAGCUAAUACCGGAUAAUAUAUUGAACCGCAUGGUUCAAUAGUGAAAGACGGUUUUGCUGUCACUUAUAGAUGGAUCCGCGCCGCAUUAGCUAGUUGGUAAGUUAACGGCUUACCAAGGCAACGAUGCGUAGCCGACCUGAGAGGGUGAUCGGCCACACUGGAACGGGGCCACGGUCCAGACUCCUACGGGAGGCAGCAGUAGGGAAUCUUCCGCAAUGGGCGAAAGCCUUACGGAGCAACGCCGCGUGAGUGAUGAAGGUCUUCGGAUCGUAAAACUCUGUUAUUAGGGAAGAACAAAUGUGUAAGUAACUAUGCACGUCUUGACGGUACCUAAUCAGAAAGCCACGGCUAACUACGUG
rnacentral:rRNA from 1 species